GAGAAGAGUUUAAAACACAGAGAUUGCUAAUUAUCUGAACCUGAGGUUAAAUUCCACAGUCUACUCA
rnacentral:tRNA from 1 species